CUGGGCUGGGAAGAGGAUCCAGUGGCAAUGGAGGGCGCGCAAGAUCUUCCCCGGCUUGUCGCGUCCCGGAUCCUACCGGCCUACCACUACCACUUCCAGGUCCAGCCAGCCAUUCGAUGUGACGUGAUCGUAUCCGAUCUUUCCCCGUGCCGUAUCACGUCCGCGUGAUUUUGGAUUUGUGUCUCGGCUUUUAGGAGGGUACGUUUGGUUCAGCUUUUUUCUGAUCAGCUUUUAGUAGAAUCUGGCUAUGUAAACAAUCUGAGUAUCAUUAGAAUUACAUGUGGGAGAAGAUAAAUGUAUCCAUAAGACUCAUGAUCUAGAAAGUGGUAAAUUCCUACUAUUGCAACAACUCAACCGAUUAUAUGUUUAUGUUGAUUUUGAAUGGCUUUUAUCCAAACAAAUUUUAUAGAAACUGACUGAAAAGUUGAAUGUUUAGCCGUCCGCGGCAACUUUCAGUGGUCAGAAGCUGUAGAAAGCCGAAACAAGGGCUCUGUCUCGUCUUGCUGGAUAACCCGGGCUCUCUUGUGACUGGUCAAGCUCCAUCCACUACAUGUGGUGGCGGAGGUAUCUUUCGCCAAAAUAGACGGAAAGCGGCCUUUUGAUUUUGCCACUAGAAUACCGACCACGCCUUGCAACCAAUCAUACUGUAGUAAGUAAUAGUAUCACGGCGGCUUUCGAUGGCAUGCAUGUGUGUGGCCAUUUGGAACGUGGGCCCCCUCGUGCAGUGCUAGGGGCAAGUUCCUGUACAUGCACGGGGCUAUCUGGAGACCCAGCAGGCGGCCACAUUUGAAACAUGUAGAUUUUUUUUUUUUAAAAAAAAAUUAUUUUGCGAGAUCCAAUCCAACCGCAAGUGGACGACGUGCGUACCACCUUCCCGUAUACUAGGUUCCUUGGAGUGCUAUUGGAAUACGAGGCCGACAGUUUCAGAGCUUUUGUCCCUCCUCUCGAUCGGCACCCAACUAACUUCAAGCACUCCAGUCACUCGUAAUUAAAGCGGCAAACGCUCAACUUGAAGCAGCAGCGUCAGAUGCAUCGACAACAAAGC
rnacentral:lncRNA from 1 species